rnacentral:rRNA from 1 species
UAGUCCACGCCGUAAACGAUGAUUACUCGAUAUUGGCGAUAUAAUGUCAGUGUCCAAGCGAAAGCAUUAAGUAAUCCACCUGGGGAGUACGUUCGCAAGAAUGAAACUCAAAGGAAUUGACGGGGGCCCGCACAAGCGGUGGAGCAUGUGGUUUAAUUCGAUGAUACGCGAGGAACCUUACCAGGGCUUAAAUGUAGAACGACAAACUCAGAAAUGAGUCUUUCUUCGGACGUUUUACAAGGUGCUGCAUGGUUGUCGUCAGCUCGUGCCGUGAGGUGUCGGGUUACGUCCCAUAACGAGCGCAACCCCUAUUCUUAGUUGCCAGCGAGUAAUGUCGGGGACUCUAGGAAAACUGCCAGUGUAAGCUGUGAGGAAGGUGGGGAUGACGUCAAAUCAUCACGGCCCUUACGUCCUGGGCUACACACGUGCUACAAUGGUAGGUACAGAGGGUUGCGAAGGGGUGACCUGGAGCUAAUCUCAGAAAGCCUGUCCCAGCUCGGAUUGGAGU